rnacentral:rRNA from 1 species
UACGUAGUGAGCGAGCGUUGUCCGGAUUCAUUGGGCGUAAAGAGCUCGUAGGCGGCUUGGUAAGUCGGAUGUGAAACCUCCAGGCUCAACCUGGAGUCGCCAUCCGAUACUGCCAUGGCUAGAGUCCGGUAGGGGCCCACGGAAUUCCUGGUGUAGCGGUGAAAUGCGCAGAUAUCAGGAGGAACACCGAUGGCGAAGGCAGUGGGCUGGGCCGGCACUGACGCUGAGGAGCGAAAGCGUGGGGAGCGAACAGG